rnacentral:rRNA from 1 species
CAUAAUCUCUGAGGAGAAAAGCAGGGGAUCUUAGGACCUUGUGCUUUUGGAGCGGCCGAUGCCUGAUUAGCUAGUUGGUGGGGUAAAGGCCUACCAAGGCUUCGAUCAGUAGUUGGUCUGAGAGGACGACCAGCCACACUGGGACUGAGACACGGCCCAGACUCCUACGGGAGGCAGCAGUGGGGAAUUUUGGACAAUGGGGGCAACCCUGAUCCAGCCAUGCCGCGUGAGUGAAGAAGGCCUUCGGGUUGUAAAGCUCUUUCAGUCGGGAAGAAAAGGUUGCGGUUAAUAACCGUAACUCAUGACGGUACCGACAGAAGAAG